UUUUGGCUCCCAUGUAAACAGGUCGAGAGCUCGGACACUGCCUGCGUGACAUUCACGUCCGUGGCUCGAUCCGCGCCGAAAACACGUGCAUGCUAGAAAUAGAACCAACGCCUAUUUUUCACGUGACACACAAGCAUGUUGAAAGCUUUUCCAGUCAAAAUAGGAAAUUCCACAAAAGAUGAUUAAAUGUCAUUUA